AGGGGACAACAGUUGGAAACGACUGCUAAUACCGCAUAAGCCCACGGGUCGGCAUCGACCAGAGGGAAAAGGAGCAAUCCGCUUUGAGAUGGCCUCGCGUCCGAUUAGCUAGUUGGUGAGGUAAUGGCCCACCAAGGCGACGAUCGGUAGCCGGACUGAGAGGUUGAACGGCCACAUUGGGACUGAGACACGGCCCAGACUCCUACGGGAGGCAGCAGUGGGGAAUAUUGCACAAUGGGGGAAACCCUGAUGCAGCGACGCCGCGUGGAGGAAGAAGGUCUUCGGAUUGUAAACUCCUGUUGUUGAGGAAGAUAAUGACGGUACUCAACAAGGAAGUGACGGCUAACUACGUGCCAGCAGCCGCGGUAAAACGUAGGUCACAAGCGUUGUCCGGAAUUACUGGGUGUAAAGGGAGCGCAGGCGGGAAGACAAGUUGGAAGUGAAAUCUAUGGGCUCAACCCAUAAACUGCUUUCAAAACUGUUUUUCUUGAGUAGUGCAGAGGUAGGCGGAAUUCCCGGUGUAGCGGUGGAAUGCGUAGAUAUCGGGAGGAACACCAGUGGCGAAGGCGGCCUACUGGGCACCAACUGACGCUGAGGCUCGAAAGUGUGGGUAGCAAACAGGAUUAGAUACCCUGGUAGUCCACACCGUAA
rnacentral:rRNA from 1 species